AUAAAAUAGCAAUUGGUCAUGAGCAUCACAAUGAACUGGUUGCAGGAAGGAACACCCUAAUAAGGUUUUUACCAAUGACUCUUUUCCUACAUGUAGGACAUUUUGCCUUUACUCUAAUUGCAGCCUUAAUGCAAGCCUUACAGAAAAUGUGCCCGCAUUUUGUCGAUGUCUCCUCAACAAAUGGACCCAUGCAAAUCGGACAGUUGAAGGUUGGCUCCUUUGGAACUGGAGGUGGUGACGGUACAUUAUCUCUCAUGGAGCUGCUACUGCCUUCCAAAUUUACAUAAUGUUCACAAUUGAUAAUUGUUUGGUCUGGUAGAACUCGUCUGCGCUUGUUAUGGUUAUUAUAAGUCAACCUAGUUGUUCGUCCUGAAUCUACA
rnacentral:misc_RNA from 1 species